rnacentral:rRNA from 1 species
AGUGUGGUGUCCUUAGAGGCUAGUCAGUCCGCUGGCAACACAAUCAAAUUGCGGGAAACUCCUUAGAGCUCAAGCUACCGCUGCUGCCCAGAGAUGGGCUGUGGCACCAGGUUAACGACCUCGGGUAUGGUAACAACGCCUGAGAUUGGACAAUCCGCAGCCAAGCUCCCUCAUGGGAAGAAGGUUCAGAGACUAGAUGGUUGUGGGUUGAACACGUUUAUCUGAAGUAUUUGAACGGUUCGGCUUAAGAUAUAGUCCAAUCCAAUGUGGAAACGCACUGGUCUGAAAGAUAGAAAAUGGGAGCCUGCGGCUUAAUUUGACUCAACACGGGGAAACUCACCAGGUCCAGACAAAGUAAGGAUUGACAGAUUGAUAGCUCUUUCUUGAUUCUUUGGGUGGUGGUGCAUGGCCGUUCUUAGUUGGUGGAGUGAUUUGUCUGCUUAAUUGCGAUAACGAACGAGACCUUAACCUGCUAAAUAGCCCGACUAGCUUUUGCUGCUCGCUGGCUUCUUAGAGGGACUAUUGGCAUAAAGCCAAUGGAAGUUUGAGGCAAUAACAGGUCUGUGAUGCCCUUAGAUGUUCUGGGCCGCACGCGCGCUACACUGACGGAGCCAGCGAGUUCAUUCCUUGGCCGGAAGGUCUGGGUAAUCUUGUGAAACUCCGUCGUGAUGGGGAUAGAGCAUUGCAAUUAUUGCUCUUCAACGAGGAAUUCCUAGUAAGCGCAAGUCAUCAGCUUGCGUUGAUUACGUCCCUGCCCUUUGUACACACCGCCCGUCGCUACUACCGAUUGAAUGGCUUAGUGAGACCUCCGGAUUGACGUUGAGCUGCUGGCAACGGCGGCUCUUUGUUGAGAAGUUGGUCAAACUUGGUCAUUUAGAGGAAGUAAAAGUCGUAACAAGGUUUUGUUCUC